CGUCCGCGGGAGUUGAGCCGGUGUCUGCGCGCUGGCCACGGGAAAGGACAGAGAAUGGAAAGUAAACGAAUCACCUCACGUUCCUCACGGAAGAACCGUCUUAUGGGGAAAGAAGGAAUGAAAUCCACGCGACUAGCUUUCCGGUAAGAGGCCGCUCGAGCGCGGCUGCGCGUCCGGACGCCGUCUAGGGUGGCGGUUGCUACAUCGAUCGGCGAGAUUUCCUCGUUUUUCCUGUUGCUUUACGGGUGGAAACUUUCUCUUCCGCACAUUGCUCUUACUUGUGAGAAUGAUAGUGAUUUCUGCUAUUUGUCCAAAUGCAAAACUUUUGAUAUGGCAAAGAAGAGAUGAUGAGUGAUGGAAGAAACAUGCCCUUAGAAGGCAGCUGCUCUUUGUGGACUGUGCCAACAGGAUGCCUUGCCCGGCUCCUGGUGUAGGUCAGCCAAUGGAACUAGCCAUAGAUGAAAGGUCAGCUGGAGAAAGAGGUCUGAGGCACAAUGGAGGUCUUAGUCCUCAGCAGGCGACAUCUCAAUCCCUAGUGGAAUGAAGGGGAGCAAAGUAGACAGUAAUUGCAAAGUGUUAUGCAUAUCUGCUCUAACCUGUUUGGAGGAUACCUGAAGGAUUGAUACACGUACUCACUUUGCUUCACUCAGAAUGCAGGUGGGAGAAAAGGAGCAGGAACCGCUCAUAAACGGUACAAUAGAGAAGACAAAUCUACCAACACCCAAGGGAAGACAUUAUGAGUGGAGAUGUACAAUGCAUCCUCUAAGGUUUGGGAAAGAACUUGAGCUGGGAAUCUUUGAGAAAUUUGGCCAUUCAAAAGCAGCCAUGCAUAUGGGGAAAUUUAGAAAGCUGCCCAUAUCCCAAGCAAGUCCUGUAUUUGAAGAUGAAAAGUCCUAAGAAGACCUUUAGCCUUCAAACUGGGCUGAUUCCUAGGCUCAGAGCAGGCCAAGAUAAGUACUGGAAAAUUCUCUAGCAUAUAGCAAAGACUGGUAGAGGUAGUUGUUUUCUCUUUCUCUCUCUCUCUUUCAU